AAGCAACACAUUAUUAACCAACACAUCCGAAUCAUCACAGGCAUUAUUGCAAUUAAGAGUUCUUUGAGGUAUUCUUGUAGAAGUGGAAGCUUGUGAGACAUUCAAACUCUCCAUAGUUUCAGUUAACCUCUCAAGAGUCUUAUUGAGCCUUUGUAACUCACCACUGACUGACUUCUUAAAGAACUUAUAAUCGUUACCCAUAUUCGAUUCACUUCCAUCAGUACGAUCCACCACAUUCUUGUCUUUACUCAUCCUACCUUAAAUCAACAAAGAACAAAAAGAACUAGCA
rnacentral:lncRNA from 1 species